rnacentral:rRNA from 1 species
GGGAUAUUGGACAAUGGGGGGAACCCUGAUCCAGCGACGCCGCGUGAGUGAAGAAGUAUUUCGGUAUGUAAAGCUCUGUCAGCAGGGAAGAAAGCAAUGACGGUACCGGACCAAGAAGCCCCGGCUAACUACGUGCCAGCAGCCGCGGUAAUACGUAGGGGGCAAGCGUUAUCCGGAAUUACUGGGUGUAAAGGGAGAGUAGGUGGCAGAGCAAGUCCGAAGUGAAAACCCAAAGCUCAACUAUGGGAAUGCUUUAGAAACUGCUCAGCUAGAGUGCAGGAGAGGCAAGUGGAAUUCUUAGUGUAGCGGUGAAAUGCGUAGAUAUUAGGAGGAACACCAGUGGCGAAGGCGGCUUGCUGGACUGUAACUGACACUGAGGCUCGAAAGCGUGGGGAGCAAACA